CAAAGACCAAGUUAAUUAGCUGAAGGCUGACCUCAGAGGAUACUCAUUAGGCCAAGUGUUUCCAACUGCACAUUGCAAAGUGAUGGAAAUGGACGCCUGAACACCCGAGUUCUGCACUCCUCCGGGUGUUCACCCUCAGCAGGCUCCUCAAAAAUGCAACUGUAGCGGAUAUAACCUCUCAUUUAGGGGUUGUUAUAAACCUUUCUCCAGUCUCAGGCCACAGAUGGUCUACUGAGUUCCACCGAGAAGAAAAAUUUCUGCAGCGCUUGCUCUCCUGGCCCUCAGGUGAAUGAACAUGGUCCAGUAGGCUCACACCACCCUGCUGACCUUGGGCCUUCAUUGCGAGCCACGUGACGCAUGUUUAGGGUGCCUAAGACAUGUAAUGCCUCAGCUUGGGCUAAGGCGGGAGCCUCUCUGCAGGUCUCCAGUGUGCUGCCCAGGAAUGCUCAUCACCAUCUCAGAAUCCAAAGUGGACAUAUUUAUAGUGUCUCCUGACUUUGAAAGGAGUUAAGAGCAGAGAGCAGAAAAUAGUUGGUCUGAAUGGGAAAUGAAAAUCAAAUAUUCUCUUAUUCUAAAGGGCACUGUGAACAAGAAUUAAUAAUGUAAGAUGCAAGACAUGCUAUAUAGCACUCUGAAAAAAUAUGAUGCCUACGUAUUUAGUUUAAGGCAAAAUGGCCUCGAACCCAGCCCCGGAGAGACAGCAGUGAACAGAACAGCAACCCCAGCCCCAGGGAGUUUACCUUCUCUGAAGGGAGACAGGAAAUAACAGAUAAGGAUCUCCAGAGACUCUGCUUCUGUGAGGCCACCUAAACUAUGAUCCCAUAAAAUUAAAAUGAUGAGAUGGAAAACCACAGAAAGCACCACACACCUGGCAGCUGAGCGGAACUUUGUGUUGCCAAAGGGGCCCAGGCCUGGGCUUCUGCCAUGUGAUUCCCUGCCCACCUUCUACCCAGAGGGGACUGCUAAUUUUUAAAAAUAGGUUUAAUACAGUCGUACACUCUAAUGUACUCUGUACUAUCUUCUUCCUGUGGGUGCACUUUUCAACUGUUACAAGAAGUUCAGUCCCUUGUGAAGCAUGAGUUUGUAAAGAUUUAUAUCAGUUUUGUUGUCUCUGUUAAUUUUAACCAAGUGGUGUAUCCUGAUAUAUGAUAUGAAUUUAGAGUUAGUAGAUCUCAUUUCUGGAGAAGGAAAUGGCAACCCACUCCAGUGUUCUUGCCUGGAGAAUCCCAGGGAUGGGGGAGCCUGGUGGGCUGCCGUCUAUGGGGUCGCACAGAGUCAGACACGACUGAAGUGACUUAGCAGCAGCAGCAGCAGCAGAUCUCGUUUCAACACUCUAGAGUUUGGAAAGUGUCCCAGAAGCCAGUAAGAAACCAAGCUUCUGCAGAACUGUGGGCAGGUGCUUUCACCUCUGUUUUCUCAUCUGUCACCAGGGCACUACUAUGGCCAUACAAGUCUGUAUACAAGUGUCAUACAAUUUCAAGGAGACUGUUCACAUCGUAACUGAACAACAAAGCGGUCUGUCUGUAACAGGAAGAUAGGAUGCAUCAUCUCAGUCACUCAGUAGUGUCUGACUCUUUGUGACCCCAUGGACUGUAUCCAACCAGGCUCCUCUGUCCAUGGGAUUCUUCAGGCAAGAAUACUGGACUGGGUUGCCAUCGGGCAUCUGUAUUAUGCAUAACCUGGAUCUGUCCAAUGGCAGAGAUGCUUGCUCAACCAUGAAGAUCAAAUUUUCUCCUCCUGGUGCCAGCCCUGCCACUCCUUAAAAGAUUGCAGCCCACCAGGCUCCUCUGUCCAUGGGAUUCUCCAGGCAAGAAUACUGGAAUGGUUGCCAUGCCCUCCUCCAGGAGGUAUUCCUGACCCAGGGAUCAGACCCACGUCUCAUAUCUCCUGCAUUGGCAGGGCAAGAACCUUGACUCUUUAUGGACAUGUCCUAAAUGCCUAGCACAAUGGCUCAUCUAUAACAGACUGUUGGCAUGUGGCAUCUUAGCUCCCCAACAAAGGAUUGUGCCUGCACGCCCUGCAUUGGAAAGUCAAGUCUUAACCACUGGACUGCCAAGGACGUACCUGGAUGCUAUGUUGUUUUUUUUUUUUUUAAUUUUUAUUUUAUUUUUAAACUUUACAUAAUUGUAUUAGUUUUGCCAAAUAUCAAAAUGAAUCCGCCACAGGUAUACAUGUGUUCCCCAUCCUGAACCCUCCUCCCUCCUCCCUCCCCAUACCAUCCCUCUGGGUCGUCCCAGUGCACUAGCCCCAAGCAUCCAGUAUCAUGCAUCGAACCUGGACUGGCAACUCGUUUCAUACAUGGUAUUUUACAUGUUUCAAUGCCAUUCUCCCAAAUCUUCCCACCCUCUCCCUCUCCCGUAGAGUCCAUAAGACUGUUAACAAGCACAUUGGAAACUCUAGGACUCAAGUCUCAGUGAUGUAGGAAUACUUCAGUCUCAUUUUUAUCUGGAUAUACAGUGUUGCUCCAUGUCCUUUGUGAUAGGUUCCAGGACCACUGAAGAAACCAAAAUCCCUCAGAUCCUUAAGUCCCUUAUAUAAAAUGGCACAAUAUUGGCCUAUAACUUACUCACAUCCUCCCAUAUACUUAUCUCUAUGUUACUUAUGUAAUGUAAACACUACGUAAAUAGUUGACUAUAAGGCCAAUUCGAGUUUUGCCUUUUGUAACUUCCUGGAAUUUUUUUCUGAGUAUUUUCUCUCUGUGGUUGGUUGAAUCUGAGGAUAUGAAACCCACAGAUACAGGAGGGCUGACUGUAUUUCCUAUCUAUUAGGUAUAACUGCUCUUUCUCUUAAUGCUGAUUAUUAACUCAAUGCCUCAAAUGCCAAAGUCUUAUUACCUUGCACACAGACCUCUUUUACAAAAAAAUAUUUAUUUAGAUUUAUGUAUUUUUGGCAGCACUAGGUCUUCAUUGCUUUGCACGGGUUGUCUCUAGUUGUGGCGAGCAGGGGCUACUCUCUAGUUGUGGUGCAUGGGCUGCUCAUUGCCGAGGCUUCUUUUGUUGCAGAGCACAGGCUCUAGGUACAUGGGCUCAAUAGUUGUGGCUUAUAGGCUGUAAAGCAAGGGCUCAGUAAUUGUGGUGCACGGGCUUAGUUGCUCGGUAGCGUGUGGGAUCUUCCCAGAUCAUGUACUGAACCUGUGUCCCAUGAAUUGGCAGGUGGAUUCUUAUCCACUGCACCACCAGGGAAGUCCAGAUACAGACCUCUAAUAGAAGUCUGGAAAUCACCUUCAAAUUUACCUAAUUAUCAAAACUUUUUACCACCUGGUCUCCACUCUAGACUUCCAAGUGAUUAACAUUUUUAAUGGUUCCUUGUAAUUGCUCUGAUAUGAUAAUGUAUGCAAGCACAUGUGCAUUCAAAAAUAUUCUUUCUUCUUUCUUUUCAUUCCUGUGUGUUUUGGUCAGAAGAGGAAAUGUUUUAGGAAUGAAGAUAUAAUGAGAAAUUUGAGAAACCACUGAUAUCACUGUGAUGAGCUGUGGUUGAGGGGAACCCAAAAAGAUAACAAGAGUAGUUCUUUCUUUCCAAGUAUGGCCAAAUAAUGAUGAAUGCAUUUACUUAAUUCCCCUUAAAUGAAUCAAGUACCUCUCUUCCAUGGGUAAACUGUGUUAUAUACUGUCUUUUCCUUGUGUUUCUCAAAAGACUACAAUAAAAACAUUCUCCGUAGAGGUUUACUUUAUUAUUAUUAUUUUUGCUGCUUUUUGUGUUAGUUGUACAUACUUCACAUAGUGGUUGAACAUGUAAUAAAGAUAUAUCUUUAUCUUUGAUGACUUGAUGACAUGGCUAUCCCUAUAGCAGAUUGUAUUUAUUCAGAAGGGCUUCCCAGGUGGCUCAGUGAUAAAGAAUCUGCCUGCAAUGCAGGAGACUCCCUGAGUGCAGGAGACAUGGAUUCCAUCCUUGGGUCUGGAAAAUCAACCUGGAGAAGGAAAUGACAACCCAGUGAAGUUUUCUUGCUUGAGAAAUCCCAUGGACAGAGGAGCCUGGGCGGUGGGCUGCAGUCCACGGGGUCCUGAAGAGUCAGACAUGAUUUAGUGACUAAACAACAAUAAUUUAUUCAGAAACUAUGAAGUUGCCUAUUUGAAAUUAUUUCCAGUAAAGUUUGUUAAAAUACAACAGAUCCGUUUGUCAAGCUUCAAUACUCCCCACCCCUCACCCUCCACCUCUGUCUGAGCCAAGUGAAAAAAAAAGUGGAAUUCUUAUGAAGUUUAGUAGAUUCCCAAUAGGGUAAUGCCCUAGGAAAAUAACAAAUGUUAGGCUGCAAAAAUAAUUGUGGUUUUGGUGAACUUUGACGUUUGAUAUUGGAAUACAUUCUUAAAUAUAUUUUAAUGUGCAUUUCUCUAUUUUUUUUUUUGCUAAUGACUUAUUACUUGCUGUGUAUUUUAUAUUUAUUUUAGUCUAGGGAAAUAAUAUUAGACAAAAAGCAAAUUCAAGCAAUUUUCUUAUUUGAGUUCAAAAUGGGUCAUAAAGCAGUGGAGACAACUCGCAACAUCAACAACACAUUUGGCCCAGGAACUGCUAAUGAAUGUACAAUGCAGUAAUGGUUUAAGAAGUUUUGCAAAGGAGAUGAGAGCCUUGAAGAUGAGAAGCAUAGUAGCUGACCAUAGGAAGCUGACAACGAUCAACUGAGAGGCUCAUUGAAGCUGAUCCUCUUAGAACUACAUGAGAAAUUGCCGAAGAACUCAACCUCAACCAUUCUAUGGUUAUUCAGCAUUUGAAGCAAAGUGGAAAGGUGAAAAAGCUCGAUAAGUGGGUGCAUCAUGAGCUGACAAAAAUUUUAAAAAUCAUCAUUUUGAAGUGUCAUUUUCUCUUAUUCUAUGCAAUAGCAACAAACCAUUUCUUGAUUGUUUUAUGACAUACAAUGAAAAGUGGAUUUUAUAUUCAACCACCAACAACCAGCUCAGUGGUUAGACAGAGAAGAAGCCUCAAAGCACUUCCCAAAACCAAACUUGCAUCAAAAAAUUCUUCAAGGAUCUCAAUAACUUUUUGCAAGGAAAAUGCUUCCACAACCGGCAGGAGGCAGAAAAUGUUUAGAGUUUGUCGAAUCCCGAAGUACAGAAUUUUACACUACAAGAAUAAACCAACCCAUUUCUCAUGGGCAAAAAAAUGUGUUGAUUAUAAUGGUUCCUAUUUUGAUUAAUAAAGACGUGUUUGAGCCUAGUUAUAAUGAUUUAAAACUCACGUUCUGAAAUCACAAUUACAUUUGCACCAACCUAAUAGAAUCUGAUGUAUCUAUUUCAG
ensembl:lncRNA